UGAGCUUGGUGGCGGCUUGGCGCAACAAGCGCGCACAGCCCUGCUCAGCCUACAUCUGGUGCGUACUGGGCCUCUUGGCUACAGCCGCAAUGAUUGACGCCGUAGCCUUGGAACAACACCUGUGGUCCAUGGAGAGGAUGGUCUUGUCUGACUUCAACUACCAACGUGGCGUAGUUCUAGCCGAGGUACUCGCCGUUUUCUUUCUUCUCGGCUCGUUUCUUUCAACUGGUCUUCGAGACCGCACCAUCUUCAAAAGCGACGAUCGAAAGUCUAAGGAGAGACUCCAUGACGACACGUCUUCACCGU
rnacentral:lncRNA from 1 species